UGGACUCACAAUACCUGCGGACAUAUUUACUCAUCAUGAUGAAGCUGAUCCUGUCUCUGACUCUCAUCUGGACACUCUCCAGCACAGCUGAAGCUCUUGAGUGUUGGCAUAGUGAAGGGACUGACAUAGGAAGAAAUGAAUUACUUCCAUGUUACUCUACUGAGUUGUGUGCAACUGUUGCCU